GAAGUUCGAACGAGAAACGGGUCUAGCUUUGUUAGUAGUUCAGGUUAAGUGGCGGACGGGGGGAGUUAUGAAUAGUUAAUCUGCCCCCCUAGAGAGGAUAACUUACUGGAACGGUAGUUAAUACCUCAUACUCUUUCUACCUUAAUGGUAGUGGGAAAAUGUUUUUUCGCUAGGGGAUGAGACUAUAUGGUAUCAGGUAGUUGGUGGGGUAAGAGCCCACCAAGCCAAUGACGCCUAGCUGGUCUGAGAGGAUGAUCAGCCACACUGAACUNGAGACACGGUCCAGACUCCUACGGGAGGCAGCAGUGGGGAAUAUUGCACAAUGGAGGAAACUCUGAUGCAGCAACGCCGCGUGGAGGAUGACGCAUUUCGGUGUGUAAACUCCUUUUAUAUGGGAAGAUAAUGACGGUACCAUAUGAAUAAGCACCGGCUAACUCCGUGCCAGCAGCCGCGGUAAUACGGAGGGUGCAAGCGUUACUCGGAAUCACUGGGCGUAAAGCGCGCGCAGGCGGCUAUUUAAGUUGGAUGUGAAAGCCUACGGCUCAACCGUAGAACUGCAUCCAAAACUAUUUAGCUAGAGUGUGGGAGAGGAAGAUGGAAUUAGUUGUGUAGGGGUAAAAUCCGUAGAGAUAACUAGGAAUACCAAAAGCGAAGGCAAUCUUCUGGAACACUACUGACGCUGAGGCGCGAAAGCGUGGGGAGCAAACAGGAUUAGAUACCCUGGUAGUCCACGCAGUAAACGAUGAAUGUUAGUCGUCGGGGGCCUAGUGUCUUCGGUGAUGCAGCUAACGCAUUAAACAUUCCGCCUGGGGAGUACGGUCGCAAGAUUAAAACUCAAAGGAAUAGACGGGGACCCGCACAAGUGGUGGAGCAUGUGGUUUAAUUCGAAGAUACGCGAAGAACCUUACCUAGCCUUGACAUAUUUUAGAACUCCGUAGAGAUACAGAGGUGCCUUCGGGAGCUAAUUUACAGGUGCUGCACGGCUGUCGUCAGCUCGUGUCGUGAGAUGUUGGGUUAAGUCCCGCAACGAGCGCAACCCUCGUCACUAGUACACUCAGCCAUAAA
rnacentral:rRNA from 1 species